AUGCAUCUCUGGCAGCCCUGGAGCAGUUAAUGUCUGCUGCUAAGGUUUCCGCUACAGAUGCAAGAAAAAGAAGGUCCUCAUGCUGUCUGUCUGUCUGUCUGCUUGUGGCAGCCAAAAUCUAAUGGGGAAUACAGGG
rnacentral:snoRNA from 1 species